rnacentral:rRNA from 1 species
UGGGGAAUAUUGCGCAAUGGGGGAAACCCUGACGCAGCGACGCCGCGUGCGGGAUGAAGGCCUUCGGGUUGUAAACCGCUUUUGAUUGGGAGCAAGCUUUCGGGUGAGUGUACCUUUCGAAUAAGCGCCGGCUAACUACGUGCCAGCAGCCGCGGUAAUACGUAGGGCGCAAGCGUUAUCCGGAAUUAUUGGGCGUAAAGGGUACGUAGGUGGUUUUUUAAGUCAGGUGUCAAAGCGUGGAGCUUAACUCCAUUAAGCACUUGAAACUGAAAGACUUGAGUGAAGGAGAGGAAAGUGGAAUUCCUAGUGUAGCGGUGAAAUGCGUAGAUAUUAGGAGGAAUACCGGUGGCGAAGGCGACUUUCUGGACUUUUACUGACGCUCAGGUACGAAAGCGUGGGGAGCAAACAGG